rnacentral:rRNA from 1 species
UACGUAGGGUGCAAGCGUUGUCCGGAAUUAUUGGGCGUAAAGAGCUCGUAGGCGGUUUGUCGCGUCUGCUGUGAAAACUCAGGGCUUAACCCUGGGCUUGCAGUGGAUACGGGCAGACUAGAGGUAGGUAGGGGAGAAUGGAAUUCCUGGUGUAGCGGUGAAAUGCGCAGAUAUCAGGAGGAACACCGAUGGCGAAGGCAGGUCUCUGGGCCGAUACUGACGCUGAGGAGCGAAAGCGUGGGGGAGCGAACAGG